rnacentral:rRNA from 1 species
GAAAUCUGGCGGUCUAAGGCCGUCCGAGUUGUAAUCUAGAGAGGUGUUUUCCGUGCCGGACCGUGUACAAGUCCCUUGGAACAGGGCGUCAUAGAGGGUGAGAAUCCCGUCCAUGACACGGACUACCGGUGCUCUGUGAUACACCUUCAAAGAGUCGAGUUGUUUGGGAAUGCAGCUCAAAACGGGUGGUAAAUUCCAUCUAAAGCUAAAUACAGGCGAGAGACCGAUAGCGAACAAGUACCGUGAGGGAAAGAUGAAAAGAACUUUGGAAAGAGAGUUAAACAGUACGUGAAAUUGUUGAAAGGGAAACGCUUGAAGUCAGUCGCGUCCGCCGGGACUCAGCCUUGCUUCUGCUUGGUGCACUUCUCGGUGGAUGGGCCAGCAUCGAUUUUGGCCGCCGGAAAAGGGCGGGAGGAAUGUGGCAGCUUUUUGCUGUGUUAUAGCCUCCCGUCGUACACGGUGGCCGGGAUCGAGGAAUGCAGCACGCCUUUGGUCGGGGUUCGCCCACGCCACGUGCUUAGGAUGCUGGCGUAAUGGCUUUAAACGACCCGUCUUGAAACACGGACCAAGGAGUCUAACAUGCCUGCGAGUGUUUGGGUGCAAAACCCAGGCGCGUAAUGAAAGUGAAAAGUUGGGACUCUUCAGUGAGGCACCGACGCCCGACCCUGAAGUCUUCUGACGGGUUUGAGGCAGAGCAUGUAUGUUGGGACCCGAAAGAUGGUGAACUAUGCCUGAAUAGGGUGAAGCCAGAGGAAACUCUGGUGGAGGCUCGUAGCGAUUCUGACGUGCAAAUCGAUCGUCAAAUUUGGGUAUAGGGGCGAAAGACUAAUCGAACCAUCUAGUAGCUGGUUCCUGCCGAAGUUUCCCUCAGAUAGCAGAAACUCGCAUCAGUUUUAUGUGGUAAAGCGAAUGAUUAGAGGCCUUGGGGUUGAAACACCUUAACUUUUCCCCUUUAAAUAUGUAAGAUCGGACCGUCACUUGAUUGGACCGUCUGGCGAAUGAGAGUUUCUAGUGGGCCAUUUUUGGUAAGCAGAACUGGCGAUGCGGGAUGAACCGAU